GUGGUGAACUAUGCCCUUGGCCUGUGACAGU
rnacentral:piRNA from 1 species